GCUGGAUGACGUGCCUGCGGUGAGGGUGGCGGGACGGCCUCCAUUCGCUCCGCGGGUGGCCUUCAUGGUGAACAAAACACAUGACCCCGAGUACCCGAGGCGGAAGGUGUCCGGCAUCAGUGCUCAGAAAGUUGUUCCACCUUCCACCAAGAUGCUGGAUGAGGAGGACACUGACAAAGACGGGAUGAGUUUGGAGGUCGACACUCCAGUGACGAACCAUCGGGGUGACGACGACGAUGACGAAGAAGAGAGACGCGUCAGCUUCGUGGAGGACAAAGGCCACCCCCUCUGCAGAGCUUCUCUGCGUUCAUGCAUUCUCCCUUGACCACCGCUGCUCCCAAGUUGGCUCAAUG
rnacentral:lncRNA from 1 species